CCACUACAGCGUAUCUUCGCGUCUGCAACCGAAGCCGGGAUCCUGAAGCCUAUUGCGCACAAUUUGGCCUCCAUCAGAGUCAGCCUUUAUGCGGACGAUGCUGCCCUAUUUCUGAACCCGUGCAAGUCUGAGAUGAUGGCCUCACAAGCAAUCCUGGAAGCCUUUGGGAGAAUCUCUGGACUCUACACCAACUUCAACAAGUCCUCGGCUUUCCCUAUCUGUUGUGAUGAGCUGGCAACUAAUGAAGUGCUCUCCGAGUUCGCGGGAACAACUGACUCUUUCCCUUGCAAAUAUCUCGGGCUACCACUUAGCCUCCACAACCUUAGGCGCGCCGACCUCCAAAUUCUGAUUGACAAGAUAGCUGCGAAGCUCGCAGGAUGGAAAGGCAAGCUCCUGAACAAA
rnacentral:rRNA from 1 species